rnacentral:rRNA from 1 species
UACAGAGGGUGCAAGCGUUAAUCGGAAUGACUGGGCGUAAAGGGCGCGUAGGUGGCUAGAUAAGUUAGAUGUGAAAUCCCUGGGCUUAACCUGGGAACUGCAUUUAAUACUGUAUAGCUAGAGUAGAGUAGAGGGAAGUGGAAUUUCCGGUGUAGCGGUGAAAUGCGUAGAUAUCGGAAGGAACACCAGUGGCGAAGGCGGCUUUCUGGACUUAUACUGACACUGAGGCGCGAAAGCGUGGGGAGCAAACAGG